UGUAAUUUAGUAUUUUUUAUAAUUAGAUACUUUUUAUAGUAGUGUUAGGAUUUUUUUAAUGUGUAUUUUAGCUUUCUUUAAUUGGUAGUUAGUUUAAUUUUAGUUUAAUAGUUAUAUUAGUUUAAUUGUUAGUUUAAACUUAGUUUUUUUAAUUUGACAGGUAAGUUUUAAUUUAAUUUAAGAUAGGGAAAUUGUAAUUUUAAUAUAAAGUUAGGGGGCGUUAGGUUUAGGGGUUACUAGUUUAAAUUAGUUUAUUGCAAUGUGGGGGGCUUUCGGUUUAGGGGUUAAUCGUUUAAUUUAGUAUAUUUUGUUGUGGGGGCUUGCGGUUUAGGGGUUAAUAGGUUUAUUAUAGUGGCGGCUAUUUUGGGGAGUGGUGGAAUAGGGGUUAAUAACUUUAGUAUAGUGGGGGCUAUGUGAGCGGAUGGCAGAUUAGGGGUUAAUAAUAUUUAAAUAAUGUUUGCGAUGUGGGAGGGCAGCGGUUUAGGGGUUAAUAACUAUAUUAUAGUGGUGACGAUGUCAGGGAGUGGCGGAAUAGGGGUUAAUAAAUUGUAUUAGUGGCGGCGAUGUCGGGAGAUUAGGGGUUAUUAACUUUAAUAUAGUAAUUACGAUGCGGGAGGGCCUCGGUUUAGGGGUUAAUAGGUAGUUUAUGGGUGUUUAGUGUACUUUGUAACACUUUAGUUAUGAGUUUUAUGUAACAAUUUUGUUGCGUAAAACUCAUAACUACUGCUCUCAGAUGGCGGUACAGAACUUGUCGUUAUAGGCUGUAAUGCAAGUCUUUUAGCCUCACCGCAAAACUCGUAAUGGCAGAGCUAUGGAAAUCCCAUGAAAAACGUAAUUUUUACGCGUGCAGGACUGACAUUGCGUUACAGGCUAAAAGGCUUGCGGUACAGCUAUACCGACAAGACUUGUAAUGGCUACGUUGCUGUUUUAAUGCUGAAAUUACCAUUUUUUCAGCGUUAAAACACGAACGCAGAACUCAUAAUCUACCUGAUAGUGAGAAAAGACUUUGCUACUGGGAGAAAAGGCCUGAGCAGAAACAAGAGUUGGUUAACACUGAGAUUAGACUUCUACAAAAGUGGAGGCAGACCUUGCAAAUGUUGCAGUUAUGUACAUGAAGGUGAUACAUUUGUAUCAUCACAUACUGGUAGAACUUUUAACAUUAGACAACAUAUUCAUUGCAAUUCUACAUAUGCAGUAUAUUAAAUAACUUGCAACAUUUGCAAUUUUCAGUAUGUGGGGCUCACCUCUAGGAUGCUAAAGGACAGAGUGAGGGAACAUUUAUUAUCUCUGAAGGCCAAUAUUCCUAAAACUCCAGUAGCCAAACAUUUUUUAAAACAUAAGUCAGAUCUGAAGGCUUUUAGCUUUCAAGGCAUUGAUUCAGUUAAUAUAGGCUGUAGAGGGGGUGACAGAUUCCAAGCACUAUGUAAAAAGGACGUUUUUUGGAUUUACACGCUCCAGACAGGGUCCCCGACAAGAAUUAAUUAAAUCAGUGAUGUAAAACUUUUCAUUGAUAAGACAUAAUGAAACUUAUAUCAAUUUUUCCAUUGCGGAUUGUAUCCCCUCUUUCAGUUACAAACUGUGCAUAUUUUCCUUUCUAAUUUUGCCCAGUGUUUAUUAAUUAGAGAUCAUCCCUCGCUAUACAAAAUAUGUUUCCUCCAUUUGUUUCUUGGCGUGUGCUUUAUCGCUGUUCUUAUUUCUAGGUAUAUAUGUAAAUAUGAAUGUAUUAUUAUUGACGGGAAUUUCUAGAAUGAGUACAUAAAAAUGAGAAUAGGGAGAUUAGCUUCAUAUCCUAUAUAUCUGUUAUAUAUUUGUAUGUGUGUUUGCAUUUCAUAUUUUUAAAUGUUGAUUAAAUAUUCACAGAGGCGUAGUUCAAAUAAUGAGUCUGAUUGGCUUGUUGGAUUACCUGUCCUGUGAAUAUAUAGGUGUAAAACACACCUGUUUAGCAGCUCUGAGGAAGUGCCCUAAAGGCAGGAAACGCGUCAGCUGUGCAGGUCUGUUUUGCUGUGCUAUUUACGAUCUUAAAGAUGUUUUCAUAAUAAAAGGACGUUUUAACCUACCAUUGUUCCUUCCUUCUUUGAAUAUAUGUCGGCUGAACUGGCUAUGCUGAACUGUUUGUUUUGUCUUCAGGUUUCAUAAUGCCAUGCACACAGUCAAGACAUCCAGUGCCUGCAGCAGCAAAGCAACCCCAAAACAUUAGUGAACCUCCACCAUGUUUGACUGUAGGGACUGUAUUCUUUUAUUUAAAAGCCUAAUUUUGUUUUCUGACAACAGUAGAAUGAUGGGCUUUACCAAAAAGCUGUAAUAUUGUUUUGUCUGUCCACAGCACUUUCUCUCAAAAGGAUUUUGGCUUCCUCAGGUAAGUUUUGAAAAACUCUAAUCUGGCUUUUUUAUGUUUCUGUGUCAGCAGUGGGGUCCUCCUGUGUCUCCUACCAUAGCGUCCCUUUUCAAUUAGAUGGCGACGUACAGUGCGAGCUGACACAUUUGUACCCUGUGCCUGAAGGGAGAUUAGCUGCAGUACCAUGGGCUGUAAACUUCUUGACAAUGUUGCACACAGUGGACACAGGAACAUUGAGAUCUCUGGAGAUGGACUUGUAACCUUUAGAUUGUCCAUGCUUUUCCACAUUUUUUGUUCUCAAAUACUCAGACAAUUCUUUGCUGCCCUUUCUCUUCUCCAUGCCCAGUGUGGGACACGCAACAGAAACGUAAAUUUUUCACCAUUAUAACUGGUUGCCGGUGUGAUUUCUAUAUUGUCAGCACCUGUUAAUAAUAGAUACAGGUGAGUUUAAUUACAAAUUACAGGAGCAUCACUAGGAAUGCAAUUAUUUCUUCCAAUUUUGAGAAGGUGCCAAUAAUUGUGUCCAGUCCAUUUUUGAAUUUUUGGGUGGAAUAUGUCAGAUUUGGCUUUUUUUCUACACUUUUUUGUGUUAUACCAAUACAAACAAAAUAAAAAAAUAAACAUGAGAAUAGCUAAACAUUUGUAAUUUCAACUAUUUUCUGGGCGAAGUGGUGCAUUAUCUGACAGAAAUGCAGGGGUGCCAAUAUUUUUGGCCAUGACUGUGUAUGAUUAUAUAUAUAUUAUUUUUUUUUAAACUUGCAUAUAAUGUAUGUAUGUCUAUGUUAAAGCCCUUUGUCUGCCUUUUAUUCCCCCAACAACUGACAGCUCGUAUCUUUGAACCCUUAUAACUUUUUUGUGCAAUAUUUUGUUUUGAAUCAUUUUUAUUAGAUGAUGCUAUUAUGAUUGUAACUGUACUUUAUAAUGUAUUUUUUUAUGUGUUUUGUGACACUUUUUUGGUUCGUCAAACAGUUAACCAGAGCUCUGAGGACUCGCUAUUCCAACGAGGGUUAACUUCAAUUAAGCUUAAAGGGAAAGUCAACACCAGAUUUUUUGUUGUUUAAAAGAUAGAUAAUCCCUUUAUUACCCAUUCUCCAGUUUUCUAUAACCAACACAGUUAUAAUAAUACACAUUUUACCUCUGUAAUUACCUUGUUUCUAUGCCUCUGCAAACUGCCCCAAAAUUUCAGUUCUUUUAACAGACAUGCAUUUUAGCCAAUCAGUGCUGACUCCUAGGUAACUUCACGUGUGUGAGUUCAAUGUUAUCCAUAUGCCACACAUGACCUAACGCCCUCUAGUGGUGAAAAACUGUCAAAAUGCAUUCAGAUUAGAGGCGGCCUUGAAGGUCUAAGAAAUUAGCAUAUGAGCCUACCUAGGUUUAGCUUUCAACUAAGAAUACCAAGAGAACAAAGCAAAAUUGGUGAUAAAAGUAAAUUGGAAAGUUGUUUAAAAUGAAAUGCCCUAUCUGAAUCAUGAACGUUUAUUUUGGACUUGCCUGUCCCUAUAAGCAAUUGUGUUUCCAUUCAACUUGUAAAACAAGCAAAAAACCAGUCUCACGCAAACACCCGUGAUAAACCCAUUUUCGCAUGUUCGUAACUGUUAGCGCUCCACAUGUAAUCUGGCCAUAAGAAGGAAGGGAAGAUCAUCUCAUAGAUAUUUCCUAAUUUUUGAGUUUGAGCUCAUUCUAAAUUGUUUAAAAACCCUUCAAUAACAUAUUUAUCUGACACUUUUCAAAUCCAUUAGUACCAUGGCAAAAAAUCCUUUAUCUAGCAUGGAGACAAAAUGGCACAUGUAUUCCAUGUAGUAAAAACACACCUUUCUGCUAGCUUCUUAAAUGAUUUGUAAGUUUUAAAAUUCUACACUCUGUACUAAUUCUCAUUUUUGAGUGGCAUUUCUAGCUGUUAUGCAUGCUCAGUAAAUAAAUACAUUUUCUAAUACAAAUUAGUUCAAAUCACACUUUUAAACUAGGAAACAUAUACAAUUAAUAAAGGUUAAUUUAUGAUUGCAAUGAGAUAUUUAUACAUCUUAAUUAUAAAAUUACUACAGAUGUUAUGAAAUAAUUAACUGCACACGUUAUGAAAUAAUAUUAAAGUGAAAACACUCCAGUCAAACUUA